GUCGAGCGGAUGAAGGGAGCUUGCUCCUGGAUUCAGCGGCGGACGGGUGAGUAAUGCCUAGGAAUCUGCCUGGUAGUGGGGGAUAACGUCCGGAAACGGGCGCUAAUACCGCAUACGUCCUGAGGGAGAAAGUGGGGGAUCUUCGGACCUCACGCUAUCAGAUGAGCCUAGGUCGGAUUAGCUAGUUGGUGGGGUAAAGGCCUACCAAGGCGACGAUCCGUAACUGGUCUGAGAGGAUGAUCAGUCACACUGGAACUGAGACACGGUCCAGACUCCUACGGGAGGCAGCAGUGGGGAAUAUUGGACAAUGGGCGAAAGCCUGAUCCAGCCAUGCCGCGUGUGUGAAGAAGGUCUUCGGAUUGUAAAGCACUUUAAGUUGGGAGGAAGGGCAGUAAGUUAAUACCUUGCUGUUUUGACGUUACCAACAGAAUAAGCACCGGCUAACUUCGUGCCAGCAGCCGCGGUAAUACGAAGGGUGCAAGCGUUAAUCGGAAUUACUGGGCGUAAAGCGCGCGUAGGUGGUUCAGCAAGUUGGAUGUGAAAUCCCCGGGCUCAACCUGGGAACUGCAUCCAAAACUACUGAGCUAGAGUACGGUAGAGGGUGGUGGAAUUUCCUGUGUAGCGGUGAAAUGCGUAGAUAUAGGAAGGAACACCAGUGGCGAAGGCGACCACCUGGACUGAUACUGACACUGAGGUGCGAAAGCGUGGGGAGCAAACAGGAUUAGAUACCCUGGUAGUCCACGCCGUAAACGAUGUCGACUAGCCGUUGGGAUCCUUGAGAUCUUAGUGGCGCAGCUAACGCGAUAAGUCGACCGCCUGGGGAGUACGGCCGCAAGGUUAAAACUCAAAUGAAUUGACGGGGGCCCGCACAAGCGUUGGAGCAUGUGGUUUAAUUUGAAGCAACGCGAAGAACUUUACCUGGCCUUGACAUGGUGAGACCUUUCCCAGAGAUGGAUUGGUGCUUUCGGGAACUCAGACACAGGUGAGCAUGGCUGUCGUCAGCUUGUGUCGUGAGAUUUUGGGUUAAUUCCCGUAACGAGCGCACCCCUUGUCCUUAGUUACCAGCCCCUCGGGGGGGCACUUUAAGAAGACUGCGGGUGACAAACCGGAGGAAGGUGGGGAUGAGGUCAAGUCAUCAUGGCCCUUACGCCCAGGGCUACACACGUGCUACAAUGGUCGGUACAAAGGGUUGCCAACCCGCGAGGUGGAGUAAUCCCUUAAAACCGAUCGUAGUCCGGAUCGCAUUCUGCAAUUCGACUGCGUGAAGUCGGAAUCGCUAGUAAUCGUGAAUCAGAAUUUCACGGUGAAUACGUUCCCGGGCCUUGUACACACCGCCCGUCACACC
rnacentral:rRNA from 1 species